UACGGCCAACUGAGGUCGAAACAUAGCUUCUCGUUCGCUCACCGAAGAUAAGCAAUGUUGCACGUGGUCAGUACAUAGAUGGGUGACCUUUUGGGAAUUGCAGCUGCUAUA